rnacentral:rRNA from 1 species
CUACGGGAGGCAGCAGUGGGGAAUCUUGCGCAAUGGGCGCAAGCCUGAUGCAGCGACGCCGCGUGAGGGAUGACGGCCUUCGGGUUGUAAACCUCUUUCAGUACCGACGAAGCGCAAGUGACGGUAGGUACAGAAGAAGCACCGGCCAACUACGUGCCAGCAGCCGCGGUAAUACGUAGGGUGCGAGCGUUGUCCGGAAUUACUGGGCGUAAAGAGCUCGUAGGCGGUUUGUCGCGUCGUCUGUGAAAACCCGCAGCUCAACUGCGGGCUUGCAGGCGAUACGGGCAGACUUGAGUACUGCAGGGGAGACUGGAAUUCCUGGUGUAGCGGUGAAAUGCGCAGAUAUCAGGAGGAACACCGGUGGCGAAGGCGGGUCUCUGGGCAGUAACUGACGCUGAGGAGCGAAAGCGUGGGUAGCGAACAGGAUUAGAAACCCCGGUAGUCC